rnacentral:lncRNA from 1 species
GAAAGAUCUUGGAGGUCCAGGAAAGAGGGAAGAGUCCACUUAAGAUGCAUGCCAAAGUGCCUUGAUGCUAAUUUUACAUUAGUGCUUCCUUCCUUUGAAUCCUGGUGUGCGUGCCACUGUAAAUGUGUAUGAUAUCUGAAAAGAAAACAAUUCCUGGUUACCUAGAGUAACUAACAUGGUUAGAAAUGAUUCAAACAAACACACUGACAGGACUUGCACACAUAGAGAACACCUAGCUCUCAGGAACAGGACCCAUUUACUCCUCCCCAGAGCAGAGAUAGGAGGCUCUCAGGCACAGCCCAAAGUCAACUUCAACCAUCUCCCAUGGCAACAAGGGAAUCCACGUCAGCCUUUUAAGUAAACAGGUACCUAUACUGUUAAAGUAUCGGACAUCAGUUGGCCAAAAAGGCAAAUAUUUACCCUCUGAGCUGGCAAAUAUGGCAAUUUAAAUUUCCUUCAGUGGAAUUUUGAGUUAAUUCUGAGGACAUUAUUUGCCUCUGUGUGUAUGUAUAUGUAUAUGUGUGUGUAGGGUGUGUGUGUGUGUGUGUGUGUAACUGGUAGUUUUUUUAUUUAAUUACUAUAUUUAUUCAAAUUUGCAGAUCCAAGUCAGGAGGUCGACUUUCUUAGAUGAAGUCGAUUUUAGAAUCAUAGUCUUAACUUCUUAAGUCUUUGGUGAGGCUAGGUAUGGUACCAUACUCCUGCUGGAUCUCAUGCCAUUAGCUAAAGUGUGAAGUUGACAAAUUUUUCUUUUGUUUUCAUCCAGCUUUUUCAUAAACAAUCCUAUCUCAAUACUUGUUUUUUCCCUAAGUCAUCAUUUUAUAGGUCUCUUGGUGAAUCUGACUCCUUGUAAGUCACCAUGGAGACCACACACGAUUUACUCAAAAUUGUUCCUAAAUAGAACAAACAAAAGAUGUCCCAGUAGAAAAGAACUUUUAUGCUUUUCUAGUGAUUUUUUCUCUAUUUCAUUGUUACGAUCCUUG